rnacentral:rRNA from 1 species
UGAGGAACAUGACCUUCGGCGGGGGAUAGCCGGCCCAACGGCCGGGUAAUACCGCGUACGACCAUUUGGGGACAUCCCCGAGUGGUGAAAGCAGCAAUGCGCCGAUGGAGUGCCUCGCGGCCUAUCAGCUAGUUGGUGGGGUAACGGCUCACCAAGGCAACGAUGGGGUANCUGGUCUGAGAGGAUGGCCAGCCACAUUGGGACUGAGACACGGCCCAGACCUCCGUACGGGGAGCA